rnacentral:rRNA from 1 species
UAAGGAAUCUUGGACAAUGGGGGCAACCCUGAUCCAGCCAUGCCGCGUGAGUGAUGAAGGCCUUCGGGUUGUAAAGCUCUUUUGUGGGUGACGAUAAUGACGGUAACCCAAGAAAAAGCCCCGGCUAACUCCGUGCCAGCAGCCGCGGUAAUACGGAGGGGGCGAGCGUUGUUCGGAAUCACUGGGCGUAAAGCGUACGUAGGCGGCUUUGUAAGUCAGGAGUGAAAUCCCAGGGCUUAACCCUGGAAUUGCUUUUGAGACUGCAAAGCUAGAGACCCGCAGAGGUUGGCGGAAUUCCGAGUGUAGAGGUGAAAUUCGCAGAUAUUCGGAGGAACACCAGUGGCGUAGGCGGCCAACUGGGCGGGUACUGACGCUGAUGUACGAAAGCGUGGGGAGCAAA